rnacentral:rRNA from 1 species
AUUGAACGCUGGCGGCAGGCCUAACACAUGCAAGUCGAACGGUAACAGGAAGCAGCUUGCUGCUUCGCUGACGAGUGGCGGACGGGUGAGUAAUGUCUGGGAAGCUGCCUGAUGGAGGGGGAUAACUACUGGAAACGGUAGCUAAUACCGCAUAAUGUCGCAAGACCAAAGAGGGGGACCUUCGGGCCUCUUGCCAUCGGAUGUGCCCAGAUGGGAUUAGCUUGUUGGUGGGGUAACGGCUCACCAAGGCGACGAUCCCUAGCUGGUCUGAGAGGAUGACCAGCCACACUGGAACUGAGACACGGUCCAGACUCCUACGGGAGGCAGCAGUGGGGAAUAUUGCACACUGGGCGCAAGCCUGAUGCAGCCAUGCCGCGUGUAUGAAGAAGGCCUUCGGGUUGUAAAGUACUUUCAGCGGGGAGGAAGGGAGUAAAGUUAAUACCUUUGCUCAUUGACGUUACCCGCAGAAGAAGCACCGGCUAACUCCGUG